rnacentral:rRNA from 1 species
AUUGAACGCUGGCGGCAGGCCUAACACAUGCAAGUCGAACGAGUGGCGGACGGGUGAGUAAUGUCUGGGAAACUGCCUGAUGGCGGGGGAUAACUACUGGAAACGGUAGAUAAUACCGAAUACCAUAGGAUGUGCCCAGCUGGGUUUAGCUAGUAGGUGGGGUAAAGACACACAUAGGCGACGAUCCCUAGCGGGUCGUAGAGGAGGACCAGCCUCACUGGAGCUGAGACACCGUCCAGCAUCCUACGGAGGUCAGCAGUGGGGAAUAUUUAACAAUGGUCGCAAGCCUGAUGCAGCCAGGCCGCGUGUAUGAAGAAGGCCUCCGGGUUGUAAAGUACUUUCAGCGGGGAGGCGUUACCCGCAGAAGAAGCACCGGCUAACUCCGUGCCAGCAGCCGCGGUAAUAAUUC